rnacentral:lncRNA from 1 species
CCAGGAGUGCCCCGAGCCUGCUGAGUGAAAGCUAUUCGUCCCUAGUGUUGGUUAAACUCACUGUGGACAACAGCUGUGCUGCGGGGCCCAAGGGAAGCGGAAGACAUAUUUCUACCCCUUCUCUCCCAGGCCCCGACCUGCCCUUCAGCCUCAGGAGUUCCUGGCUUCACCCUUUGUCCAGGAUCUCCAGAGAGAUCCUGAUAAGAGCAGUUCUGAGGCUGAGAGGGGGUUGUUAUGAGGACAGCGCGUUCUGCAGCCAAGACCUGACCUCCUCACCCCUCCUUCCGAGUGCUUCAGACCAGAAAAGAACUUGUCACUUGGGACAUACAGGGACAUGGCUUUGAAUCCUAACUAUCCCAAAGGGCUUCUGCCUGCUGUGGUGUGGUGUGCUUGGGUUCUAUGGAUCAUAAAUCUACUCUAAAAAUUCCAAGUAAAAAGUGGAUGUCUUAGAAGGUUCUAGAGACAUUCCUUUUGGUUAAACAAAACAGACAAACACCAAACCCCAGAAAACCUAAUAAAACGAAUUUGAAGAGUUGUUGACCCAUGUAAUGGAAAAGUCCAGUGGUAGGGUGGAUUUCAGGUCAAGUUUGAUCUAGCUGCUCAACACUAUCCUGGGGAUCCAGAUUGCCACCUAUCCCUCUUCCAUAUACAUCUGUGUGCAUGGUCAUUCAAGCUCCAAAUAUCCAUGACCCUUCAGCUCAAGUAUUUGCACCAGCUGAGAUGUUCUGUGUUUCUUCAUGUGUAUUCCUGAGAGAGGGAAUCGGAUGUCCAAGCUCAUCCUUUCAGGCCAAGCACCAGCAGUUGUAUGUUUCUGGCCAGCAGAGUUGAUGGUCUCCCCUGGGUCCAGGGUCCAAUGUUUGUUCAGUCAUUAGUGGCCAGACCACAAAGGUCACAUGCUUGCUCCAACCCAGUGGAGGCAGGACAUCUGAUAAGUGGUCAUGGACCAGUCAAGCCACCCGGAUACCUUCCCAGAGACUGAGUCUCAGGAGUCCCCAGAACUCUGCAAUUCCCCCCUGGACUGAAGACUAUCUUAAGAGUCCUUUUUUGUUCUAAUUAGUAAUUUUAGGACAAUUUUAAGGUUGAGUCUGGUUAGUCCUAGCUAUUUCUUGAGGCUCUGUUUCUGGUUCACUCAGGAGGAGAAACUCAGACUUGGUUCAGGAAAUGGUUUUAAUCCCUGUUCCUAAGAAAUCAGUCAGUAACUACGUGUGUCCACCGUCAGUAAGCCCAGGAUUAUUCUCAGAUGGCUGUUGACAGGCAGCUGGGCUGCUUCUCCAAACAAAUUCUGCAUUACUUUAUUACUUUCAUAACCAGGAAAAAGGUUUGAUCUUCAAAAAAAUGCACCCACGUCAUCGAUCAGGCUGGAAGAACUUGUUUGGCCAAAUUUAGAACCCACAAGAAGGUCAGAGGCUAAAUUUAGAACUAAACUCUGAACCCUGAGGGCCAGCAGCUCUGUCUGGCACUGGGUGCUUGCUAAUUCCACCUGCCACCUUGACUUUUGUUGAAUCUUUUCCUGUAACUAUGUGUCCACGGAAUUCUUGCAGGAUGACAUAGUCUUUAAGGGCACGACCUGGCAUCUAAAGCCUGUCUCUACUACUGCGCAAAUUGUGUGACUCUGGGAAUGUGUUUACCCUCUCUGAGACUUGGUUUCAUCUAUUUUUUUUUUUUUUUUUUUUUUUUUGUCUUUCCUGGGAACUUCCCUGUGCGGUGGGUGCAGCCCUAAAAGAAAAAAAAACGAAAAACGGUUUAGCCAUUUAGUAGCAUGCAUCAGAAUGUCUUUCCUUUCUAAAGCCGAAGCAUUUUCUAUUGUAUAAAUAGACCCCCUUUCGUUUCGCCAUUCAUUCCUCUGUCAGCGGAUACCUGGGCUGCUUCCUCAUUUGGGCGGUUGUAAGCAAUGCUGCUAUGAGCGCUGGUCUACAGAUAUCCAUUCGAGCCCCUACCUCCGCCUCUUUGUGGUGAUAAAGCUGUGUUAGGGACGGCCACGAGGGGAGCUCUUCAUCCCCUUUUUAAAAAGGGGGAGGUCAACAAUGCUCGGCAUACAGUAAGCAUUCAACAUAUCAUAGCGGAUACAUCAGUAUUAGAAAAAUAGUGAGAGAGACUUUUCAAAUGCAAAUUAAAGAACGAAAUGAUAUUUUUGCCUGUCAAAUUAGCAACAACGAAAAGGGGAUAAUCCUCAAUGCAGCUGGGAGAGGGGGAAAUGGAUUUUCUCAUACGCGUCCAUGGGUCAUCAUUCUGGAAACAACUCACAGGGCUAAAUAUGACAGAUUGAGGUUCUUGAAAGGGUUCAUACCUUUUGGCCCAAUAAUUCCACUUCUGAGGUUUCAUCCUAAAGAACGCUGAAUGCAGAUCAAGACCGGACUCUAGAGAAGUUUGUCACCGCAAUCUUCGUAACAUGAUGGAAGCAGCCUCUAUUCCUACCCAUAGGGAACAGAAGAAAAUAAAGCUGGUGUAGCCUGGCAAUGGACAGUUUUGUGGUCAUUACAAGUGCUUAUGAGAAUAGUGCAAUGAGCAAAUGUAUAUGCUAUACUCGGUCACGAAAAAGAAGGUAUAGGUAUCGCAUGUAUCCUCUAAAACCAGGUACCCUUUAUUGAGCAUUUACUAUGUGUCGGAAAAUCUGCUCAGUUCGUUAUGUACUUUCUUGUUUACUCUUCCCAACAACCCAGAGGUGGGUCCUAUCAUUAUUCUAUCUUCCAGAUGAGGAAACAGAGGUUCCAAGUGGUGACCUGACUGUCAGGUCACACAGCCAGCAAGUGGCAGAGCUGGGAUUCCAACCCAGGCCCCUGGGCUCCAAAGAGAGAAAUGGGAUAGAAAGAACACGCUGCACUAAAGGAUAAUCACGCUCCUUGGAAGGACAGGAGUGAGUGUUACUUUUCUGCUCAGGCUCGCCUGUACGUCCCCUCCAAACCAGCGGGGAGAGCAUACUGAAAAGGGGAGGGAAGGCAAGGAGGCAAUUGCGUUUUGCAAGCAGGCAUCUCUGACGAUAAAACUCCAUGUCUUGUAUCUCAUGGCACAAACUCAGUUUGUGUCCAUUUUUUUUUUUCUGGUUAAAGUAGAGCAGAGUGUCCUGGCUGUGUCUCUGUGUCUUCUGGCUGAUUGCUUAAUAAUCGUGGACACACACACACACACACACACACUACAGAAGAGGAGGCAAAACCCAGCAGUAGCCAAAACUCUGCUAGAUCGAUGCAGACUGUUAUAGGCGCAGCUUUCCAACAAGCAGAGCUCAGUGAAAUAAAUAUUUUUCCUGUGAGAAGAGGCUUAAGUCGGCGAUCUUAACAAUCCCCCAAUUCAUUCCAGAUCCUCUUGGCGUGGCUGGCGUCAGCGCACCCAUCUUGAUGUACUUAAGAUCAUUUAGUAACUGCAGCGGGCCUGUGUGUCUGGCGGGCUUCUCCGCUUGGCGGUGCGCCAGGGGCGCUGGGCAGGAGGGCAGGGAGGAGUUUGGCCCUGGGGGAAGCUCUCCCCACUCCUCCAGCUACCCACAACUUCCUUGGGAUCCCCAACUCUCUUUUCCUGGUAAGCCGUCACUUUUUAAUCUAAACUGGAGGCCCGAGCAUUCAACCUCUUUUCUUGGCAGAGGCUCGGUUCCUUUCGUCCUGGAGACAAUCUGCAGGAAGAAUUUAGAAUCAAGGACUUUGAAAGCACACACGCAUGAAGAAAUCCGAGUUCUCUCAAAAAACCGAGCACGUCACUCUCCAGGCAAAAAUGUGUCAGGUGAUUCAUUUUCACAUACUUGCUCACUCAGCAAUUAUUUACUGGGACCUCUCCUUCCUAAGUGUGAGAGUUGAGACCAAGCGAGGGUAAGAGUGCGAAGGGCUGCUGGGGAUCCAAGAUUCAUCCCUCCCUCCGUCCACCCAUUCAUUCAGCAGCUCUCUGCUGAUCGCCUCCAGGCGCGGGGUCCUUCUGGGGCGUGCGGGCUGUCAGUGGGAAGCUGCUUCUCAGAGCUGCCAUUCUAGCCGGGUGACAGCUGGACAAGGAAAAUGUAGCACAUAGGAUAUCAGAUGCUAUUAAGUGCCAGGGAGAAAAUAAAAUAGGACAGGGGAUUGGGAGGAGGGAGGCAGGCUGGUCCCACUAGAUGAGGGGCCAGGAAAGGAGGUGUGAAGUCACAACUUGUGGGACCUGGGGGGAGAUGACAUAGGAGGCACAGACCUUAAAUAACAGUGACUCACUCACAGGUCUCCUGUGAAGUCUCUUUCAAGUGUCUUUCAGUCCUGAUUAUGCCAAUUGACUCUAUUUGUCGUCAACAUGUAUUUUUUUUUCCAAGGCAUAUGGAAGUUCCCAGGCCAGGGACUGAAUCCCAGCCACAGCUGGACCUAUGCUGCAGCUGCAGCAACGCCGGAUCUUUAACCCACUGCACCAGGCUGCUGGUCGAACCCUGGCCUCAGGGAGGGGCCUGAGCCACUGCAUUUGGAUUCUUAGCCCAUUGUGCCACAGCAGGAGCUCCCUAUUUGUUGUUAAUAUGUCUUUGAUGCCUCACUAAGACCCACGGAUCACCUCCUUGACAGGUCAGAGGCUUAGCAGGCAAGUAUGCCUACUGGCCCUUCAACUUGGCUUUGUGUUUAAUGUGAAUAUUUUAUAGUUACUGUUUAUAUUAUUAUCCGUGGCAAAUGGCACUAGGCCCUUCAAUUACAGUUAUGAGAAACAUUCUUCUAAAACAUACAUGUGUUGGAGUUUCAGCUGUGGUAUAAUGGGAUCGGUGGUUUCUCUUCAGCACUAGGAUGCAGGUUCGAUCCCUGGUCUAGCACAGUGGAUUAAAGGAUCCAGUGUUGCCGAGGCUGUGGCGUAGAUCGCAGCUGUGGCUCAGAUCUGAUCCCUGGCCCAGGAACUCCACAUGCUGUGGCACAGCCAAAAAAAAAAAAAAAAA